GGCUCGGUUAGCUCAAGUCGGUAGACAGAGACUGAAAAAUCCUCGUGUCGGCGGUUGAUUCCGUCCCGAGCCACCC
rnacentral:tRNA from 1 species